ACCUACUGUGUGUGUGUGUGUGAAGUUAUACUGUACAAGAAAAACGUCUUGACAUGCCAAGUUUUGACCAUCACCCACUCUCUGCCAUCGGAUUCAUCAUUCUCCAUAGACGCUGGAUGCAGAAUUACAGUCCCUUACAAUCCCCCACAUCCUACACAUGUUCAGUAGAGAAGGAAAUCCAUAUACAUGGAGCACCUCCAGCAGCUAGACCACUCCCAACAGGUAACACACACACACAGGAAUGGAUGAGCACACAUGGACACACACAUUGUCAUAAUUUCCACAUAGAAAGGCUUAGUCUGCACCGAGAAUCUUAUGAGAUUUGUGUGUGUGCAUGAGUAUGUGUGAGGUAAGGAGGUAUAUGUGUGGGGUGGGGGGAGGAGGCAGACUGUCGUACCCUAUGUCCUCUCUGAAGGGGUUAGUCCGUGAGGGAUUUAGCCUGCUGAUUCUGAUGCUGCACCCUCUGAGGAAGAACAUCCCGAAAAACAUGAACUUCUUCUCCUUUCACUAGGACACGUACAUCUCAACCUCCACCUACAGUACCAGUCAACAGUUUGUACACACCUACUCAUUCCAGGGUUUUUCUUUAUUUUUUACUAUUUUCUACAUUAUAGAAUUAUAGUGAAGAUGUCAAAACUAUGAAAUAACACAUGGAAUCAUGUAGUAACCAAAAAAGUGUUGAACAAAUCAACAUAUAUUUUUUAUUUGAGAUUCUUCAAAGUAGCCACCCUUUGCCUUGAUGAGAGUUUUGCACACUAUUUUAGCAUGGAUUUAAUCUCAGAUUUUGUCUCAACAUGCUUCCAGUCCAUAACAUAGAUAGAUGAGUAGUUGUUCUCUAUUAAUCCAUUGAGUUCACUGACUACAUAUUUUAUUCUUUAAUUGAGUCUCCAACAUGGGAUGAAUGCCAUUAUACACUAGGUAGUUUGGAACCUGGAUGCUGAUUGGCUGAAAGCUGUGGUAUAUCAGACAAUAAACCAUGGGUAGGAUGCAAAAAUACUUGUUUACUCUUCUAUUUAUGUUGGUAACCAGUUUAUAAUUGCAAAAAGGCACAUGGCAGCCUGCUUGGAGUUUGCGAAAAGACACCUAAAGGACUCUCAGACCAUGAGAAACAAGAUUCUCUGGUCUGAGGAAACCAAGAUUCAACUCUUUGGCCUGAAUGCCAAGUGUCACGCCUGAAGGAAACCUGGCACCAUCCCUACGGUGAAGGAUGGUGGGGGCAGCAUCAUGCUAUGGGGAUGUUUUUCAGCGGCCGGGACUUGGAGACUAGUCAGGAUCGAGGCAUAGAUGAACGGAGCAAAGUACAGACAGAUCCUUAAUGAAAACCUGCUCCAGAGCGCUCAGGACCUCAGCCUGGGCCGAAGGUUCACCUUCCAACAUGACAACAACCCUAAGCACACAGCCAAGACAACGCAGGAGUGGCUUCGGGACACGUCUCUGAAUGUCCUUGAGUGGUCUAGCCAGAGCCCGGGCUUGAACCCGAUCUAACAUCUCUGGGCAGACCUGAAAAUAGCUCCCCAUCUAACCUGACAGAGCUUGAGAGGAUCUGCAGAGAAGAGUGGUAGAAACUCCCUAAAUACCCAAGAAGACUUCAGCUUGUAAUCGCUGCCAAAGGUGCUUCAACAAAUUACUGAGUGAAGAGUCUGAAUACUUAUGUAAAUGUGAUAUUUCAGUCUUUAAAAUCAUGUUUUUCCUUUGUCAUUAUGGGAUAAUGUGUGUAGAUUGAUGAGGGGGAAAAACUAUUUAAUCAAUUUUAGAAUAAGGCCUUAACCUAACAAAAGGUGGAACAAGUCAAGGGGUCUGAAUACUUUCCUAAGGCACUGUAUAUAUCUUAUGAAAUAUGAGAUGGAACUAACCAAGUAAUUACUUGUAUUGGAAAUCUAUUUGAAUUAGCUAUUCAAUUAAAAUCACAACCAUUCAAAUCUUUUAAAUUAUCAUAAUGGACAAUGGGUUAUGAUCAUUUUAAAAAAUCCAAUCAUGGCUUUAUUUUUUAUUUAUCUAGACCACUCUGCCACCCGGGAGGCCCUCAUGGCUUUAUUUUAAUCAGAUCUGUGCAUUUAUAAAGUGCUUAGAUAUAUCUUUGCUGCGAGACUAUUUCUGACCUUUCAUGAGAUCCAAAUGCAAUCAUAGUUAUGUGGAAUAUCAAUCACUGAUUAGGGUCUAACCUAACUAUUGCCUGGGAGACAUGUGCUUCUGUGUAUGAUGCGUGUUGCUACCAAACCGAAACAAAAAAAGUCAAUACAAUUUGCAUAACUUUUUGAAUGAAUUUGCUGCGUAUUAACAUAUCACACAAUUCACUGGUGACAAUCUGUUUAGAAGAGGUUCAGAGAUCGGAGAAUCUCUCCCUGUCAAGCAUAUUCCAAGUGAUACCAUAAUGUACUGAUGUCCCCGACUAAAAAAAAUCUUAGUCGACCAAGAGUCGACUGUUUGAUCAAUUGAUUGGUCGAAAUUUUAAAACAUACGCAGUAUUUUUCCAUAUAUUGACACAUCCUAUGUGUUUUAUUUAAGUCAACUAUAUUCACUGAGCUUGUCUGAUGCUUUAAGCACGCUGUUUGAUUAAAUAAUUAAAACACACAAAUGACUAGAUGGAGUCCGACCUGCAAUUGAUUUGAUUGUGCCGGGAUCAAACUUGCUGCACUGUGUUAAAAAAAAAAAAAAAGACAGCGACUAUGUGACUAGCACCUGUUCUCUCUCUCUCUCUCUCUCUUCCCUGCUGCAGCAUAUAAUUACAUUACCCGACCUCCCCCAGUAAAACUAAUCCCGUCCGAAUAGUGCACAAUAGGGCCUGACCUAUAACAUAUUAUAAUCACUUCAAUAAAUUGGUUAUAACAAACUCUGAACACCGUAACACGUGACAGCAAAAAUGGAUGUAGAGAACAUGACAAAUAAACUCGAAAUGGGGGAAUGUUUACUGGUUGCUCAGGAGGAAUACAUUUGACUAGUUGUGGAAAAUACUGGAGAUCAAGAAGGUAAGGAGCAAGUCUGCGUGCAUAAUUUGUGUGCGAAACAGAUGCUGUAUAGAUUACAAUAUAAUUCUUCUGACUGUUUGGAACAAUGUAAACAACACUCAAUAAAUAAGCGUACCAGAGA